rnacentral:rRNA from 1 species
GACGAACGCUGGCGGCGUGCCUAAUACAUGCAAGUAGAACGCUGAAGGAGGAGCUUGCUUCUCUGGAUGAGUUGCGAACGGGUGAGUAACGCGUAGGUAACCUGCCUGGUAGCGGGGGAUAACUAUUGGAAACGAUAGCUAAUACCGCAUAAUAUUGACUAUUGCAUGAUAGUCAGUUGAAAGGUGCAACUGCACCACUACCAGAUGGACCUGCGUUGUAUUAGCUAGUUGGUGGGGUAACGGCUCACCAAGGCGACGAUACAUAGCCGACCUGAGAGGGGGGUCGGCCACCCUGGGACUGGGACACGGCCCAGACUCCUACGGGAGGCAGCAGUAGGGAAUCUUCGGCAAUGGACGGAAGUCUGACCGAGCAACGCCGCGUGAGUGAAGAAGGUUUUCGGAUCGUAAAGCUCUGUUGUAAGAGAAGAACGAGUGUGAGAGUGGAAAGCUCACACUGUGACGGUAUCUUACCAGAAAGGGACGGCUAACUACGUG